rnacentral:rRNA from 1 species
AGUGAACGCUGGCGGUAGGCCUAACACAUGCAAGUCGAACGGCAGCACAGUAAGAGCUUGCUCUUACGGGUGGCGAGUGGCGGACGGGUGAGGAAUACAUCGGAAUCUACUUUUUCGUGGGGGAUAACGUAGGGAAACUUACGCUAAUACCGCAUACGACCUACGGGUGAAAGCAGGGGAUCUUCGGACCUUGCGCGAUUGAAUGAGCCGAUGUCGGAUUAGCUAGUUGGCGGGGUAAAGGCCCACCAAGGCGACGAUCCGUAGCUGGUCUGAGAGGAUGAGCAGCCACACUGGAAGAGAGACACGGUCCAGACGCCUGCGGGAGGCAGCAGUGGGGAAUAUUGGACGAUGGGCGCAAGCCUGAUCCAGCCAUACCGCGUGGGUGAAGAAGGCCUUCUGGUUGUAAAGCCCUUUUGUUGGUAAAGAAAAGCAGCAGGUUAAUAACCCGCUGUUCUGACGGUACCCAAAGAAUAAGCACCGGCUAACUUCGUG